rnacentral:rRNA from 1 species
GACGAAGGGGGCAAGCGUUGUUCGGAAUUACUGGGCGUAAAGGGCGCGUAGGCGGUUCUUUAAGUCAGGCGUGAAAGCCCUGGGCUCAACCUGGGAGUGGCGCUUGAUACUGGAGGACUAGAGAGUGGGAGAGGUUGGUGGAAUUCCCAGUGUAGAGGUGAAAUUCGUAGAUAUUGGGAGGAAUACCGGUGGCGAAGGCGACCACCUGGACGGAGAUUGACGCUGAGGUGCGAAAGCGUGGGUAGCAAACAGG